CCUACGGGAGGCAGCAGUGAGGAAUAUUGGACAAUGGGCGCAAGCCUGAUCCAGCCAUGCCGCGUGCAGGAAGACGGUCCUAUGGAUUGUAAACUGCUUUUGUACAGGAAGAAACACUCCCUCGUGAGGGAGCUUGACGGUACUGUAAGAAUAAGGAUCGGCUAACUCCGUGCCAGCAGCCGCGGUAAUACGGAGGAUCCAAGCGUUAUCCGGAAUCAUUGGGUUUAAAGGGUCCGUAGGCGGUUUAANAAGUCAGUGGUGAAAUCUGGUCGCUCAACGAUCAAACGGCCAUUGAUACUGUUAGACUUGAAUUAUUAGGAAGUAACUAGAAUAUGUAGUGUAGCGGUGAAAUGCUUAGAUAUUACAUGGAAUACCAAUUGCGAAGGCAGGUUACUACUAAUGGAUUGACGCUGAUGGACGAAAGCGUGGGGAGCGAACAGGAUUAGAUACCCUGGUAGUCCACGCCGUAAACGAUGGAUACUAGNUGUGGUGCAGUAUAGUGNGUAGACGAAGUAGANAGUA
rnacentral:rRNA from 1 species